AGCGGCUCGUUGCCGGUUUUAUGUCUUAUUCGCUAUUUUAUUACAUUUUGUGAUUCAUACGAAGAUGUUUAUAUUCAACCUGGAGACGUGAACAUAUCUAACGUUGCGCAACACGCGCAGCGGCCACGCGCCGUCUGUUGUCCACGCGCCGCCAUACGCGUUGAACGUGGUUUAAAUCAUGUUACACAACAACAACAACAAGGAUGUGUGCUUCAUGACAUGUUGGGGUCAGUGAGGCGGCUGCGGAAUUUAGCUCGAGCCAAAUAAACCAAACGACAGUAAUCUGGACUUCAUCAGAGAGAGAGAGAGAGAUGAUUAGAUUUUGGGAUCAAUCGGGUCAAAGGUCAAGGACAGGUCAACAUCUUCUUUUUACUAUAGCGCGGUCAAUUUGUAUCCAAUUGGCAUGAAACUAAUGCCAAAAUGUUCAUAAUUCAAUGCCCAAUCUUGUGAUAUGCGAAGGUCAGAGGUCAGCAUGGGUCGGUCCUCCAAAGACAAGCGGGACAUCUACUACCGUCUGGCCAAAGAAGAAGGCUGGAGGGCGAGACAGGUGUCCACAGAGCUGUGGAUCUGUGUGCAGCUCCUGGCAGCUGGAGUCAGGUCCUCAGUCGGAAGCUCAGAGGUCCGGAGCAGAAGGCCGGCGGGGCUGAGGAGGAGGAGGAGGAGGUGAAGAUCAUGGCGGUGGACCUGCAGGCCAUGGCUCCUCUAGCAGGAGUCACUCAGAUCCAGGGAGACAUCACCAAGGUGAGGACGGUCUGGGGGGCUCAGGGUCCAUGUGGUCUAUGUGGGUAUGUGGUCUCAGGGUCUAUGUGGUCUCAGGGUCUAUGUGGUCUCAGGGUCCAUGUGGUCUCAGGGUCCAUGUGGUCUAUGUGGUCCAUGUGGUCUCAGGGUCUAUGUGGUCUCAGGGUCCAUGUGGUCUCAGUGGUCUAUGUGGUCUCAGGGUCUAUGUGGUCUCAGGGUCUAUGUGGUCCAUGUGGUCUCAGGGUGUAUGUGGUCUCAGGGUGUAUGUGGUCUCUGUGGUCUCUGUGGUCUAUGUGGUCUAUGUGGUCUAUGUGGUCUCAGGGUCUAUGUGGUCUCAGGGUCUAUGUGGUCUAUGUGGUCUCAGGGUCCAUGUGGUCUCAGGGUCUAUGUGGUCUCAGGGUCCAUGUGGUCUCAGUGGUCUAUGUGGUCUCAGGGUCUAUGUGGUCUAUGUGGUCUCAGGGUCUAUGUGGUCUCAGGGUCUAUGUGGUCUCAGGGUCCAUGUGGUCUCAGUGGUCUAUGUGGUCUCAGGGUCUAUGUGGUCUAUGUGGUCUCAGGGUCUAUGUGGUCUCAGGGUCUAUGUGGUCUCAGGGUCUAUGUGGUCUAUGUGGUCUCAGGGUCCAUGUGGUCUAUGUGGUCCAUGUGGUCUCAGGGUCUAUGUGGUCUCAGGGUGUAUGUGGUCUCAGGGUGUAUGUGGUCUAUGUGGUCUCAGGGUCUAUGUGGUCUAUGUGGUCUCAGGGUCUAUGUGGUCUUCGUGGUCUAUGUGGUCUCAGGGUCUAUGUGGUCUCAGUGGUCCAUGUGGUCUCAGGGUCUAUGUGGUCUCAGGGUGUCUGUGGUCUAUGUGGUCUAUGUGGUCUCAGGGUGUCUGUGGUCUAUGUGGUCUCAGGGUCUAUGUGGUCUCAGGGUGUCUGUGGUCUAUGUGGUCUCAGGGUCUAUGUGGUCUCAGGGUCUAUGUGGUCUCAGGGUCUAUGUGGUCUAUGUGGUCUAUGUGGUCUCAGGGUCUAUGUGGUCUAUGUGGUCUCAGGGUGUAUGUGGUCUAUGUGGUCUAUGUGGUCUCAGGGUCUAUGUGGUCUCAGGGUGUCUGUGGUCUAUGUGGUCUAUGUGGUCUAUGUGGUCUCAGGGUGUCUGUGGUCUAUGUGGUCUAUGUGGUCUCAGGGUCUAUGUGGUCUCAGGGUCUAUGUGGUCUCAGGGUCUAUGUGGUCUCAGUGGUCUCAGGGUCUAUGUGGUCUCAGGGUGUCUGUGGUCUAUGUGGUCUAUGUGGUCUCAGGGUCUAUGUGGUCUAUGUGGUCUCAGGGUGUAUGUGGUCUAUGUGGUCUAUGUGGUCUCAGGGUCUAUGUGGUCUCAGGGUGUCUGUGGUCUAUGUGGUCUCAGGGUCUAUGUGGUCUAUGUGGUCUAUGUGGUCUCAGGGUCUAUGUGGUCUCAGUGGUCAGGGUUUUUCCUGCAUAGAGAAAAUUUGGGCGCGCGCCUAAGCCGUUUUCCCGAACGCCUAUGACAAAUCCCGAGCGCCUAAGGCAAAAAAAAGUCCUGGUUCAGUUCUCUGUAUUCCCUGUCAUCGUCGGCAGAGGUGAGGCCAACGAUUGCAGAGUCAUCAGAGAACUUUUGCAGGUAGACGUGAUCGGAGUUGUGAUUGAAGUCCGAGGUGUAGAUGGUGAAGAGGAAUGGAGCCAGAACGGUUCCUUGUGGAGCCCCUGUGCUGCAGGAGACCCGGUCUGACUCACAUCCCCCUAUCCUCACAUCCUGUGGACGGUUGGUGAGGUAGUCCAGGAUCCAUGUGGUGAGGUGGUGGUCCACCCCGGACUGCUCCAGCUUGUCCCUCAGAAGCAAAGGCUGGAUGGUGUUGAAGGCACUGGAGAAGUCGAAGAACAUGACUCUCAGUGUUUCCAGCCUUUUCCAGGUGAGAGAGGCAUCGCUGCAGCAGGAAGAUGACGGCGUCAUCCACCCCGAUGCCAGGUUGGUAGGCGAACUGAAGUGGGUCCAGCGAUGAGCUCACCAGGGGGCGAAGCUGGACAAGGACCAACCUCUCCAGGGUCUUCAUCAGGUGUGAUGUUAAUGCCACCGGCCUGAAGCUGUUGAGGUCCUUGGGCCGCGGGGUCUUCGGUACUGGUACCACACAGGAGGUCUUCCACAGCUGUGGUACUUUCCCCAGCCUCAAGCUCCAGUUGAAGACGUGCUCCACUUUCCCGCACAGCUGGUCUGCACAGGAUUUGAGGAGCCUUGAGCUGAUGCCGUCUGGACCCGUGGCCUUCCUCACUUUGAUCCUCCUCAGUUCCCUUCUCACCUGGGAGACCAGAGGCAGGUGGGCGGCGGGACUUUGUCCACGGACGGUUCACGCCGGAUGCUUCGGGCCACACCGGCGGGCGCCGCCUGUCGUCGUUGUCCUCUACGUUCAAUCGGUCGACUGGAUCCUGGCUUUUCAAAUUAAAACAAGUGCAAAGGAAUCAAUGAAGCGGCUUACUGUGUAAUAUCUGACUGCUGUACUUUUGGUAAAUGAGCAGCACAAAAUACUCCAAUGUACAGCCGAGUGUUAAUGGCUCCCUGAGAUCAGAAGGCCAGUCUCAUCUCAAGCAUGUCAUUGUGCCAUUUGUGUUUAAGUCAUUUCCCCGAAAGAGAAAAUGGCUGGUAUUUUACCACCCAUGGUGUGAUUCGGUAGUUUAAUUAACUGUUGCGUCAGAGGCUGAAGUGCAGGCAGGUUGUGCGUUUAAAGAAACCUGGAAUCUUGACCUUAUUAACAUGUGAUCCAACAUUAUUAUGACUAAUAUUAUGUAUUUGUCAAUUGUCAACUCUUGAUUUAUGAUUAUUUAUUGGUCAACUCUUUGAAUUAAUUAUUAUUAACUCUGAUUUAUUCUUAUUUAUAUAUAUAUAUACACUCUUAAUUCGUUAUUAUUAUAUUUGUAUUAUUACGUAUAUGUCAAUUGUUUUCAUGCAAACUGUCGCUGGGCGUCAAGGAAAGAAGAAAUAGAAGGAUAAAUUAACCUUUUGUGCCAUCUUUAAUUGUCCCGACACACUAGUGUAGUGGAAUAAAACACUCGGCACUUGGCGGGGGCAAGACGUGGAUAGUGGGAAUUCACUGACAGCCAAUGAAAUUGCAGUAUUAUCUACGCUGUCCAAUGUCCUGAAAAGCCACGUUUGGACGCUGUUUAUCAAGAAAAGUGUUUCCUACUUUGCUAUUUUUGGAGUGUCACUUUAUCCCAGUGGCAGACAGAUUAUAUCAGUACUUGACUUAUUUAUAACCUAUAUGUAACAUAUUACAUUUUUCUUCUCAUAAACAUUUGAAUUGCAAUUACUUAAAUUAAAUAUGUCUUUACUGUUCACUAUAAUGAUUCAUAUAUUAAUGACACAUGGAGACAUUAGUCCAUGAAAUAUAUUUAUUCACAACAGGGACAGUAAAUAUUGAACACACAGCCCAUAGUGCAAGGUCACACAAACAGUAAAACAAAUGUAAUUUAUAUAAUAAAAGAAUGUAAUUAUUAAAAUAAGAAAAGAUAUAUACAUGACACAACACUGCUCAUCUCUCUUAUUUGCUCUUGUAAACGGCCCAUCUGUUUUUCCCGUCUCAUAGAAGGCAGACGCCUGGAACUCUCUCCACGUCAUCUCCUUCUCCAUGCCUUGGUCUCUGUACAGGGAAAGUACUUUGGCAGGACAAUAAACGUACUUCCCUGCUACCCCAGGGAACCCGGUGUGAAUGUGAGGGCUGUUUGGGCCCUGCUUCAGUCCCAUCCCACAGAAGCAACCCAUAGCUUCCAGCUCGUCUUCAUCAGAUCCUCUGCUGCUGUGAACAGGUCCACUGGCUGACGUCAUGGUGGCAGCCAGGAAGCUGUGGAGGAGGACCGGUGGGGACGGCUAUUGGCCUGGGGAAUGGCUCACCUGGUCAGAUGAGAAUAAAGAUGAAAUGAGUAUGAUUUUAGGUGUGACUUUAUUUCAUCUUUUUAAAAUGUACACAAACAAAUAAAAUAAAAGCAUUAAAAUACUGA